UAUACUGUGAAACUGCGAAUGGCUCAUUAAAUCAGUUAUGGUUUAUUUGAUGGUACCUUGCUACUUGGAUAACCGUAGUAAUUCUAGAGCUAAUACAUGCAGGAGUUCCCGACUUCGGAAGGGAUGUAUUUAUUAGAUAAGAAACCAAACCGGUCUCCGGUUGCGUGCUGAGUCAUACUAACUGCUCGAAUCGCACGGCUUUACGCUGGCGAUGGUUCAUUCAAAUUUCUGCCCUAUCAGCUUUCGAUGGUAGGGUAUUGGCCUACCAUGGCUUUAACGGGUAACGGAGAAUUGGGGUUCGAUUCCGGAGAGGGAGCCUGAGAAACGGCUACCACAUCCAAGGAAGGCAGCAGGGGCGUAAAUUACUCAAUACCGACGCGGUGAAGUAGUGACGAGAAAUAUCAUUGAGGAGCCCUACGGGUUUUUCAAAUGAAAUGAGAGCAAUCUAAAAACCUCAUCGAGGAUCAAUUGGAGGGCAAGUCUGGUGCCAGCAGCCGCGGUAAUUCCAGCUCCAAUAGCGUA
rnacentral:rRNA from 1 species